CAGUAAGGAAUAUUGGUCAAUGGAGGCAACUCUGAACCAGCCAUGCCGCGUGCAGGAAGACAGCCCUCUGGGUCGUAAACUGCUUUUAUUCGGGAAUAAACCACACUACGUGUAGUGUGCUGAAUGUACCGAAGGAAUAAGGAUCGGCUAACUCCGUGCCAGCAGCCGCGGUAAUACGGAGGAUCCAAGCGUUAUCCGGAUUUAUUGGGUUUAAAGGGUGCGUAGGCGGCUUAUUAAGUCAGGGGUGAAAGACGGUGGCUCAACCAUCGCAGUGCCCUUGAUACUGAUGAGCUUGAAUACACUAGAGGUAGGCGGAAUGUGACAAGUAGCGGUGAAAUGCAUAGAUAUGUCACAGAACACCGAUUGCGAAGGCAGCUUACUAUGGUGUYAUUGACGCUGAGGCACGAAAGCGUGGGGAUCAAACAGGAUUAGAUACCCUGGUAGUCCACGCCCUAAACGAUGAAUACUCGCUGUUAGCGAUACACAGUUAGCGGCUAAGCGAAAGCGUUAAGUAUUCCACCUGGGGAGUACGCCCGCAAGGGUGAAACUCAAA
rnacentral:rRNA from 1 species